GUCGGACGGGUGAGUAACGCGUGGGUAACCUGCCUUAUACAGGGGGAGUAACAGUCAGAAAUGGCUGCUAAUACCGCAUAAGCGCACAGAGCUGCAAGGCUCAGUGUGAAAAACUCCGGUGGUAUAAGAUGGACCCGCGUUGGAUUAGCUUGUUGGCGGGGUAACGGCCCACCAAGGCGACGAUCCAUAGCCGGCCUGAGAGGGUGAACGGCCACAUUGGGACUGAGACACGGCCCAGACUCCUACGGGAGGCAGCAU
rnacentral:rRNA from 1 species